UCGCUACAAAUCACCGGAUGUUUCACAUUCUUCCGAUCACAAACAAAUCGAACAGCUUGAACAACUGUAGAUGCAUACUCCUGAAGGCCAUAUCCAACUGAACAAUCGGAAUCACACGAUUUUGUACCAUCAUAGUCAAUUCCAAGGCCACCACCACAAUCAAUGUAUUUCAUGCCAGCACCAAGGCGGACUAAUUCACAGUAAAUCUGAGCGGCCUCACCCACGCCAUCAGCAAGCAAAGCCGUCGAAGGGAUCUGAGAUCCAAUAUGAAAAUGCAGCAGCUGAAGACAAUCCAACAUUCCGGAUUCUUCUAGCUUCUUCACCACACG
rnacentral:lncRNA from 1 species